rnacentral:rRNA from 1 species
UGCCAGCAGCCGCGGUAAUACGUAGGAUGCAAGCGUUGUCCGGAAUCACUGGGCGUAAAGGGUCCGUAGGCGGAUCUUCAAGUCGGAUGUGAAAUCCCGGGGCUCAACCCCGGAACAGCUCACAAAACUGUAAAACUAGACACACGAAGAGGAAACUGGAAUUUGUGGAGGAGUAGUGAAAUGCGUUGAUCUCACAAGGAACACCAAAGGCGUAAGCAGGUUUCUGGUCGUGUUGUGACGCUGAGAGACGAAAGCGUGGGGAGCAAAAAGGAUUAGAUA